CCUGCUAUGACCCGACCCAAUGUCUGCUGUGAAAAAGACCUAUAAGAGAUGCUUAACUAUUUAACACAACCCAAAUCAAAAUCUCUAGUUUGCAGCCAUCGCCACACCCCACAACAUUAAAAUUGUCUUCCAUGCAGAAAUUAACUGAUGUUACUAACACCAGUCAAAUUAAUAAUGAGCUGCCCUUCGUCCAUCCACCCAUCCAUUCAUAGAUCAACCCUCGCAAGACGUCCUGCUCCUGAGAGACUACUCGAGAGACUGCAUCACCUCAGCAAAGGUAUGCAGAGCCAGAAACACAAGCCUAAACUCUGAUCGGCAGUGAUUAAACACCCUCUGCUUUGUCUUUGAACAAUACUCCCCUUGUGUCCUGCUAUGAUUGAUGGACACUUUUAUUGUUGGGUCAAUAUCACACUGCUGAAGUGAUCAGGGAGCUGGAGUCAAGCAGCGGAACAAUACAUAGGAUCUAUGACUGCAGGAAUGCAUUGUGUGAGAACCAAGAACCUGGCCUCUUAUGAAGGGACUUUCCAGCUUCCCCUGUCUGCCCCUUGGGGUCCUAUCACACCGAGAAAGACAUUUUCAGACAAGCGGCCCUAAUGUCCCUGUUGUACAACUGUUGUACUAAAUAUCAGGUAUAGAUACAAUUCCCA